GACGAACGCUGGCGGCGUGCCUAAUACAUGCAAGUCGAGCGGACCAAAGGGAGCUUGCUCCUGGAGGUUAGCGGCGAAACGGGUGAGUAACACGUGGGCAACCUGCCUGUAAGACUGGGAUAACAUCGAGAAAUCGGUGCUAAUACCGGAUAAUAAAAAGAACUGCAUGGUCUUUUUGAAAGAUGGUUUCGGCUAUCACUUACAGAUGGGCCCGCGGCGCAUUAGCUAGUUGGUGAGGUAACGGCUCACCAAGGCGACGAUGCGUAGCCGACCUGAGAGGGUGAUCGGCCACACUGGGACUGA
rnacentral:rRNA from 1 species